rnacentral:rRNA from 1 species
GACGAACGCUGGCGGCGUGCUUAACACAUGCAAGUCGAACGGAAAUGCCCUGCUUUUGUGGGGUGCUCGAGUGGCGAACGGGUGAGUAACACGUGAGUAACCUGCCCUUGACUUUGGGAUAACUUCAGGAAACUGGGGCUAAUACCGGAUAGGAGCUCCUGCUGCAUGGUGGGGGUUGGAAAGUUUCGGCGGUUGGGGAUGGACUCGCGGCUUAUCAGCUUGUUGGUGGGGUAGUGGCUUACCAAGGCUUUGACGGGUAGCCGGCCUGGGAGGGUGACCGGCCACAUUGGGACUGAGAUACGGCCCAGACUCCUACGGGAGGCAGCAGUGGGGAAUAUUGCACAAUGGGCGGAGGCCUGAUGCAGCAACGCCGCGUGUGGGAUGACGGCCUUCGGGUUGUAAACCGCUUUCGCCUGUGACGAAGCGUGAGUGACGGUAAUGGGUAAAGAAGCACCGGCUAACUACGUG